rnacentral:rRNA from 1 species
GACGAACGCUGGCGGCGUGCUUAACACAUGCAAGUCGAACGGAAAGGCCCUGCUUUUGUGGGGUGCUCGAGUGGCGAACGGGUGAGUAACACGUGAGUAACCUGCCCUUUACUUUGGGAUAACUUCAGGAAACUGGGGCUAAUACCGGAUAGGAGCUCCUGCUGCAUGGUGGGGGUUGGAAAGUUUCGGCGGUUGGGGAUGGACUCGCGGCUUAUCAGCUUGUUGGUGGGGUAGUGGCUUACCAAGGCUUUGACGGGUAGCCGGCCUGAGAGGGUGACCGGCCACAUUGGGACUGAGAUACGGCCCAGACUGCUACGGGAGGCAGCAGUUGGGAAUAUUGCACAAUGGGCGGAAGCCUGAUGCAGAAACGCCGCGUGCGGGAUGACGGCCUUCGGGUUGUAAACAGAUUUCGCCUGUGACGAAGCGUGAGUGACGGUAAUGGGUAAAGAAGCACCGGCUAACUACGUG